rnacentral:sRNA from 1 species
ACACCUUCGUUGUCUGCCCUCUGCCGUAGACAGAGCAGCACCCUCUGCUGGGAACAGCUCUCUGGUCCCUGGGUCUUCAGGGGAUGGUUUUCAUUCCCACGUGGCCGCCUCUGGACAUCUCUUAGGAAGGGCACCCUAGGGAUCACGAACCUUUGACGCCUCUGCCUGUUUCCCUCAUCUUGCUUCUCACCUUGUUGCUCCUUUCUUGUGACUCAAAGCUGAGUACCUUGUGACACUGCAGAUGCUUGGAGAGUUUCAAGCCCCUGCCGACACUUUAUCCAAGGAAGGAUAUCAGGAUAGGACUUCUACCUCUAGGCCUAUCACAACAGCUCUCUUGCAGAUGGUGGACCUGCUGGUUCCGGGUGGAGCUGACCAUCCCAGAGGCAUGGGUGGGCCAGGAAGUUCACCUUUGCUGGGAAAGUGAUGGAGAAGGUCUGGUGUGGCGUGAUGGAGAACCUGUCCAGGGUUUAACCAAAGAGGGUGAGAAGACCAGCUAUGUCCUGACUGACAGGCUGGGGGAAAGAGACCCCCGAAGGUGAGU